rnacentral:rRNA from 1 species
CCUACGGGAAGCAGCAGUGAGGAAUUUUUCACAAUGGACGAAAGUCUGAUGGGAGCAAUACCAUGUGAACGAUGAAGGUCUUCUGAUUGUAAAGUUCUUUUAUUUAGGAAAAAAAGCUUGAGAGGAAAUGAUUAAGCCUUGAUUGUACUAAAUGAAUAAGUGACAGCUAACUAUGUGCCAGCAGCUGCGGUAAAACAUAGGUCACGAGCAUUAUCCGGAUUUAUUGGGCGUAAAGGAAGCGUAGGCGGACAAGUUGAUCUAUUGUGAAAGGCACUUGCUCAACGAGUUGUUUGUGAUAGAUAUCGUUUGUCUAGAAUUAGUUAGGAGAUACUGGAAUUCAAUGUGUAGCGGUGGAAUGCGUAGAUAUAUUGAGGAACACCAGAGGCUAAGGCGAGUAUCUAGGACAUAAUUGACGCUGAGGCUUGAAAGCGUGGGGAGCAAAUGGGAUUAGAUACCCCAGUAGUCCACGCCGUAAACGAUGGGUAUUAGGUAUUUGGUUUAGGACUGAGUGCUGUAGCUAACGCGUUAAAUACCCCGCCUGGGUAGUAUAUAUGCAAAUAUGAAACUCAAAGAAAUUGACGGGGACCUGAACAA